AACGAACGCUGGCGGCGUGGAUAAGACAUGCAAGUCGAACGGGACUUACUAAGCUUGCUUUGUAAGUUGAGUGGCGAACGGGUGAGUAACACGUGAGCAACCUGCCCAGAAGAGGGGGAUAGCUCGGGGAAACUCGAAUUAAUACCGCAUGUGAUCCUGUGUAGCAUUGCACAGAGAUUAAAGGUGCCUUCGGGUGCCACUUCUGGGUGGGCUCGCGGCCUAUCAGUUAGUUGGUGAGGUAACGGCUCACCAAGGCAAUGACGGGUAACUGGUCUGAGAGGAUGAUCAGUCACACUGGAACUGAGACACGGUCCAGACACCUACGGGUGGCAGCAGUCGAGAAUCAUUCGCAAUGGGGGAAACCCUGACGGUGCGACGCCGCGUGGAGGAUGACGGUCUUCGGAUUGUAAACUCCUGUCAUCGAAGAGUAAGGCUGUUAUGUGAAUAGCAUAGCAGUAUUGAUAGUAUUCGAAGAGGAAGGGACGGCUA
rnacentral:rRNA from 1 species